rnacentral:rRNA from 1 species
UUCCGGUUGAUCCUGCCGGACCCCACUGCUAUCGAGGUGGGACUUAGCCAUGCUAGUCGAACGAACAGAACUAUGUCUGUAAGUGGCAUACUGCUCAGUAACACGUAGCUAACCUACCCUUAGGACGUCGAUAACCCCGAGAAAUUGGGGCUAAUAGGCGAUAGAUGUAUUGUCCUGGAAUGGUAAUACGUCCAAAGGUAUCCCAUACAUGUUUGGUAUACGCCUAAGGAUGGGGCUGCGGCCGAUCAGGCUGUUGGUGAGGUAAUGGCUCACCAAACCUUUGACCGGUAUGGGCCAUGAGAGUGGUAGCCCAGAGAUGGACACUGAGACAAGGGUCCAGGCCCUACGGGGCGCAGCAGGCGCGAAACCUCCUCAAUGCACUAACGUGCGAAGGGGUUACCUCGAGUGCCACCUGAAGAAGGUGGCUUUUCCUUGGUCUAAAAAGCCUAGGGAAUAAGAGGGGGGCAAGACUGGUGUCAGCCGCCGCGGUAACACCAGCCCCUCGAGUGGUGGGGAUGAUUAUUUGGCCUAAAGCGUCCGUAGCCGGCCGGGUAAGUUUCCCGUUAAAUCCAGCGUCUCAAGCGUUGGACUGCGGGAAAUACUGCCUGGCUAGAGAGUGGGAGAGGUCAGCGGUAUUCUGGGGGUAGGGGCGAAAUCCUUUGAUCCCCGGAGGACCACCAGUGGCGAAGGCUGCUGACUAGAACACGUCUGACGGUCAGGGACGAAAGCUGGGGUAGCGAACCGGAUUAGAUACCCGGGUAGUCCCAGCCGUAAACGAUGCAUGCUAGGUGUUUGGGUUGGCC